rnacentral:lncRNA from 10 species
UGUGAUCCACCUGCCUCGGCCUCCCAAAGUGCUGGGAUAACAGGCGUGAGCCACCGCACCUGGCUAAGAAUUUUUUUUUUCAGUAAAACUUUAUUAACCCACUCAUUAUUAUCAGAAUACAAAUAGGAGUACACUGCACAGUGAAGAAUUUGCAUAGCAAAUGAAUGACAUGAACAAAAUAUUCAGAAGUGUCACACACUUAAAUUGAUUAAUUCAAGUAUUUAUUUUCGUGAAAAUAAUUUGUGAAUAGCAUGGUCCCUAUCAUUCUCCCCUUAAUAACUUUUCAGUAACAUGUUGUACUGACAUGUUCAGUAAUUGUUGUAAGUUAAUACAAUUGUAUUUCAUUUAUCCUUAAAUUGUAGUUGUUUUGAUAUAUACAUGUAAUUUGAACUGGCCUCUCAUGAAAAAAUUCCAAAUGAGUAUUUAACAGUACAAAGUUACUAAUCACCAUUUAAAAAAAUGUAUGAUACAGUUGAGUAAAAGUAUAGAAAAUAUUGUUACAUUUUAUAAAUCUAAAUAUAGGUCAAGUUAUUCUUGACAAAUUCUUUUGAAAGAAGCUAAUACAAACAAAUACUAGAGCAGCACCCCCUAUAAGAAAGUACAUGGUCCUUAGCACUUUGGGAGGCUGAGGCAGGCAGAUCUCCUGAGGUCAGGAGUCCAAGACCAGUCUGGUCAACAUGGUGAAACCCAGCCUCCACCAAAAACACAAAAAUCAAUCAGCCAGGCAUGCUGGCAGGAGCCUGUAAUCCCAGCCACCCAGGAGGCUGCGGCAGGACCAGCUAAGAAUCUUUAAAUAGGGAGAUUAUCUUGGAUUUUCCAGAUGAGCACCAAUCUAAUGACAAUGGACUUUAUAAGAGGGAGGCAGAAGUUUAAGAGUCAGAGAAGGAAAUGUGAUAAUGGAAGCAGAGGUCAGAGUGAGAGAGAGAAGAUGUAAUGCAGCUGGCUUUGAAUAUGGAGGAAGGAGCUACAAACCAAGGAAUUCAGGCAGCCUCUAUAACCUGGAAAAAGCAAGGAAAGAGAUCUUGAUUUUAGCCCCAUAACACUGGAACUUACAAUUGUUUUUUGUCUUUUUUUUUUUUUUGAGAUGGAGUCUCACUCUGUUGCUUAGGCUGGAGUGUGCAGUGGCAUGAUCUCAGCUCACUGCAACCUCUGCCUCCUGGGUUCAAGCAAUCCUCCUGCCUCAGCCUCCUGAGUAGCUAGGAUUAC